rnacentral:lncRNA from 1 species
AGGCUUCAUGUCCCUUAACUUAUAAUGAAUUAGGGUUGAGAGGCUCUCUCCUCCAAGGGCCAGGAGGUCUGGUUUUAUAGUCCCUCCAAGUGAAUAUGGGCCGUCGGAUCAAACUGACAUUGAUUGAACGGUUAUCCUUGAUCCUUUAGGUCGGUGGAGCUUGAUCCCAAAAGAGAGUCCUGAUUGGACUCCAGAGGUGGGCGGGCGCCCUGGGCCAGGCCCCGUUUCGCCUCCGCUUUGUUCUCGUGGCUUCUAGAGUCUUCUGGAUGUAAGAUAAUUGCACGGCACAUUGAUAUCUCUAUGUAAUCCCGACGUGUGGGCCUUUCUUCCGUAUUUCCUGAUAACCCCGUGCAGAAAUAGACAAACACCAAAACUCAUGGAAUUCUGUGAGAUAAAACCCUAAGUCUAGAUGUUGAUUUCAUUUGGAUCCUGUUCUUUGUUUAUUUGAUAAUUAAAUUUGAUACUUCAGGACCGUCAACAAACUCCCCCAAGCUUACCUCUUGCUCGUCCCUAAUCAAGGAUAAUCUCAGCGAUGGAAUAGAAGUUGCUGUAAUACCUUUGAAAAUUGACGGUACACAUGCUUUUAAAUAAGAUCUCAUCUCUGAGUUAGAGUAAACUAUCAAGACUUAAAACUUACUUACUUUACCUUUCACCAUGGGACUUGUAACCGUCACUUCUGUCUCGGGUAGUUAAAAGAUAGAACAGUCUAAUCAAGUGCCAUGUCUCUUAUUCUUGAUCAGCUAUAGCUCUGGAGUUUUAACAGAUUUUCAAAUAAAACUCAGAGAUUCCUUGUAUGAUUCUCUCAGAUCUAUAUUUUGUGGUAUUUCUGGAUCCUUACCAAGGCAGUGAUGGUAUAUGCUUUCCCUCAACCUACUCUAAUAAGGUUUUGAUAUCUGGAGCUCAUAGGUGGGAGACAGAUAAUACAUACUUACAAGACAUUUAUUGCAUAGUCAAACCAUUGAUCCAAAGAAUCAAAUCAAUAAGUCAAAUCAAUAUGUGCAUGUGUGGCGAAUGAAUGGUGUAUGGUGAUGAUGGUGAUAAAAAUGGUGAAAGUCUAAUUCUACUUUUGCUCUUUGAGGGGAUACAUACCUUUCUUGCUCUUUUAAACUUUUUGAGGAGAAUGAGAUGCUCUAUAUUUUCUUUUUCUUUUCUCUUAGUUGGGUAUUUUGUACCCCUAAUUCUAUUGUCGGACACUUGUCCAUUUUUACCUCUCGUGUCACUUUUUCUUUUCUUUCGAGGUUCCGGGCACUUGCCCCUUUUUAUUUCCUCGUAUUUUUUCUCUUUUUUUAGAGCACUUAUCUCAUGAAAUAGCAAGUGGCAGUAACCAAGAUAACUUGAGCAUUUAUUUCACAAGGGAAAAACAUAAAUAUUUUUGCUCAUUCUCUCCCGGAUUAGGAGUAGAAUAUUUUUGGGUGGUUCUGGAGAUGGAAAUGAGUGGAUAUAUGUGGAUGGUACUUCCGAAGUAGAAGCAGCAUAUGUGAGUGAACGUGCAAAUGAAUCUUGAUUUAACCACAUGACAAGCUCCUAAGGGUCUACACAGCUUGACCACACUCAAUGCUCAUAAGCAGUAAAAAGUAAAAAUAUGGAUCAAAGUCUAGAAAGCAUGUAUAUAUGGCUGUGGUAAUAAUUUAAACUCUCACCAUACAGGAACUCAUCAUGCAAUAUUUUAAAGAUUUUUUGAAAGAUAAAAUUCUCUAGAAUUCUAGCAUCUCGAGGAACAGAUAAACAACAGCUCAACCUUCCCAUAUCAUAUCCGUUAACAACCUAGACAUCAGAUCAAGUUUUCUAACAACAGCUCAACCUUCCCAUACCAUAUCCGUUAACAACCUAGACUUCAGAUCAAGUUUUCUUCCCACAAGUUUAGGUUUAGAGCAAGCUUUAAAUUAUAACAGUUAUGUCUAAACUUGAGAGAAAACUCAAAUUUGAAAAUUAGGCAGAGCAACUAUUCAUCAUAUCCAUGCUAGAAUUUUAUUAUUAAGAUUCAGUUUAGCAUAGCCACUUUAUUUAUUUAUCAAACAAACUAAGCAAAGAUAUAUAUAUAUAUAAGCACAAAAUCUUUAUUUGGUUUUCUAUAGUUAUGUAUAUUUAUAUUUUAAUAUAGUAUAAGUAUAAAGAUAGAUAGAAAUACUUAGAGGGAUAAAUGGGGGUGCUCUCCCCCAAGCUAAAUUUUGACGUAAUUUCUUCUGAUGUAGCUAGCAGGUGGCAGAGGUGUAUUUGAAAGUCGGCAGUAUCCUGACAGCGAUUAGAAUGUCCUUCGUCUGCUGGUCUUCUUGAUUCUUAAAUUCUGUGGAGCUCAAAUAGACAACAAAGCUUUGUGGAACUAACUAAGUGUUAGCAUAAAUAUCUAGCCUUCAUCAUGUUGAGUCUCCUCAAUAAAUAUUACUCUCUAUUUUUAUAUUUUCAUUUUAUAAAGCAAAAAAAAUAUUUAUUUUAUUUUUAUGCCACCAUAGUGAAUGUACUUAUGGAUUUCAUGCCACUCGUAUACUCACAUGGGGCUUACUAUUUUUUAACAUUUUUAUUUUCUUUUUAGGAUAGUAUGAAUAUGAUUAACUAAGCAAACUAUUUAAAAUAAUUGAAAGGGAAAGGAUAACUACCAAGUUUACCUCUUGGCAAGCCGUUCGGCGUUUUUAAGUCCUCCGAACAGGACUCUCCAUUUUCUCAGUCGUCCUGGGAUUCGUUGGAUGGCAGAGUCGGUACUUCCGGCGGCGCGUCUUCUUCAUGUAUAGUUAUCUUCUCUCUCCACACCUGACUUGGUGCUAUGGUCUCCUCUGGAUAAUUCUAUUUAAACUGUAUGUCUUCUGACCUUAUCACUUCUCCUUCAUAGUCUGUGUUGAUAUUUGGUAACGCAAUAAGGAAAUGAUCCGCAAGCGCACGGAUAUCGGUGAGCAUUUCACCUGGGAGGUUAUCCAGAGUUAUCGUAUUUAUAUUUUUACCACUGGGAGAAAGGGUGCAUCUGACUAACCAAAUCUAUUGCUACUACCCCUUUAGGCUACAAAGAAUGUUUCUCGAUGUGAGUGAUGUAUAGAGAAGACUGCAACCGUAGUCUCAUUCUAACCUUGGUAAGGAUGAUCUAUUGUUCUAUUGGGGAGGCUUAGGAAUCUAGACACCACAAAGGAUGUUCGACCCGCACCUAUAAACCUACCCAUCCUGCUAACGAGAUGUGGGAUGCAAAGGUAACUCGGAAAUGUCACGUUCCUCGCUACUACCAUGGUCCAGCUAGUCAGGGGAUAUCUAUGAGUACCCUAGCCUAAACACCACGUUUACGCUAGCAAUGAUUACUCUAAUACUCAACCGGAAGAGAUUAAAGUCAACUCAUAAACCAAAGAACAAUAAAACAAGAACUUACUAGAGUUAGAAGUCGAAUUACUGAAGAAUCCUAGGAGCAAGCCUCGGGUUAGAAGACUUGAUCCCGCAGUUACAACCUCGGAGUAGACACCGACAGGCCGGGCUUCCUCCGAUCUACACCUCCAUUCUAUCUCUCUCAAUCUAGUAGAAACUAGAAGAUCUAAUUCUACUCACAUUGGAUGCUAAGCCUAAAAGAAAUUUUAUUUAGAGGAGAGGUAUUCCUUCGAGGGCACCUCUCAACUCUAUGAUGAACUUGUCUCCUCCAGGGGCCAGGGGGUCUGGUUUUAUAGUCCCCUCAAGUGAACGUGAGCCAUUGGAUCAAACCGACAUUGAUUGUACGGUUAUCCUUGAUCCUUUAGGUCGGUGGAGCUUAGUCCACGAAGAAAGUUCUGAAUCGAAUCCAGGUCAGGGCGGGCGCCCAAGGGGGGAGGGCGGGCGCCCUGCCCCUGGGUCCGUUCGGCCUCCCGUUCGUUCCCGUGGCUUCUGGAGUCUUCUAGAUGAAAGAAAAUUGCGCAGCACAUUAAUAUCUCUAUGUAAUCCCGACGUGUGGGCCUUUCUUCCAUAUUUCCUGAUAACCCCCUGCAGAAAUAGACAAACACCAAAACUCGUGGAAUUCGGUCAGAUAAAACCCUAAGUCUGGGUGUUGGUUGCAUUUGGAUCCUUUUCUUUAUUUAUUUGAUGAUUAUAUUUGGUACUUAAGGACCGUCAACAACUCCCCCAAGCUUACCUCUUGCUCGUCCCUGAGCAAGGAUGAACUCAAGAGUUUCUGUAGUGGUUUCAUGCCUUAAAAGUAAGAUCUCAUCUCUGAGUUAGAGUAAACUGUUAAGACAUAAAACUUACUCAUUUUACCUUUUACCAUGGGGCUUGUAACCGUCACUUGUGACUUGAGCAGUUAAAAGAUAGAACGGUCAAGUCAAGCGCCAUGUCUCUUAUUCUUGAUCAGCUAUAGCUCUGGAGUUUUUGCAGAUUUUCAAAUAAAACUCAGAGAUUCCUUGUAUGACUCUCUCAAAUCUCUCUUUUGUGGUAUUUCUGGGUCCUUUCCAAGGCAGUAAUGGUAUAUGCCUUCUCUCAAAGUAUGUGGUAUUUUUGGUAUGAGGCAUAGUGAUAUUGCCUUCUCUCUCACCCUACUCUAAUAAGGUUUUAAUAUCUGGAGCUCAUAGGUGGGAGACAGCUAAUACAUACUUACAAGACAUUUAUUGCAUAGUCAAACCAUGGAUCCAGAGAAACAAGUUAAUAAGUCAAAUCAAGAUGUGCAUGUGUGGCAAGUGAAUGGUGUAUGGUGAUAACAAUGGAGAAAAUCUAAUUCUACUUUUGCUCUUUUAAGGGGAUACAUACCUUUCUUGCACUUUGAAGCUUUUUGAGGAGAAUGGGAUGCUCUAUAUUUUCUUUUUCUUUCCUCUCAGGUGGGUAUCUUAUACCCCUAAUUCUAUUGUCGUACACUUGUCCAUUUUUACCUCUCGUCGCACUUUUUCUUUUCUUCGAGGUCCCGGGCACUUGCCCCUUUUUAUUUCCUCGUAUAUUUUUUUAUUUUUUAUUUUUUUUAGAGCACUCAUCUCCUGAAAUAAUAUAGCAAGUGGUAGUAACCAAGAUAACUCGAGCAUUUAUUCCACAGGGAAUAACAGGGAUAGGAUAAUGUUUUUGGCUAUUCUCUCCUGGAUUAGGAGUAGAAUAAUUUUGGGUGAAUCUGGAGAUGGGAAUGGGUGGAUGUAUGUGGAUGCGUACUUCCGGAGUAGAAGUAGCAUAUAUGAGUGAACGUGCAAGUGAAUCUUGAUUUUAACCGCAUGACAAGCUCCUAAGGGUCUACACAGCUUGACCACACUCAAUGCUCAUAAGCGGUAAAAAGUAAAUAUGUGGCUCAAAGUCUAAUACGCAUGUAUAUAUGGCUGUGGUAGGAUUUUAAUCUCUCAUCAUACAGGAACUCAUCAUGUGAUAUUUUAAAGAUUUUUCAAAGAUAAAAUUCUCCAGAAUUCUAGCAUCUCUAGGAACAGAUAAACAGCAGCUCAACCUUCCCAUAUCAUAUCCGUUAACAAGUUAGACUUUAGAUCAAGUACUCUUCCCACAAGUUCAGGUUUAGAGUAAAUUUUAAUUCAUAACAGUCAUGCCUAAACUUGAGAGAGAUUUCAAUUUUGAGAACUAGUCAUAGCAGAACAACUAUUCAUCAUUUCCAUGUGAGAGCUUAUCAUGAGCGUUCAUAGCAAACUUUAUUUAUUUAUUUAUUUAGCAAACUAAGCAAAGAUAUAUAUAUAUAUAUAUAUAUAUAUAUAAAAGCACAAAAUCUUUAUUUGGGUUUUCAUGAUUGUGCAUCUUUUAUUAUUUGAGUAAAGUAUAAACGCGAGUAGAAACACUUAGCUGGAUAAAUGGGGGUGCUCUCCCCCAAGCUGGAUUUUGACGUAAUUUCUUCUGAUGUAGCUAGCAGGUGGUGGAGGUGUAUUUGAAAGUCGACAGCACCCUGACAGUGAUUAGGAUGUCCUCCAUCUGCUAGUCUUCUUUGAUCCUUGAAUUCUGUGGAGCUCAAAUAGACAACAAAGCUUUGUGGAACUGGUUAAGUGUUAGCUUAAAAUCUCUUUGCCUUUACCAUGUUGAGCUUCCUCUAAUAAAUAAUACUCUCUUUGGUAGGAUCAUAAUUUACUUUUAUAUUCUCAUUUUUAAAGGACAUGAAUAUAUUCAUUUUAUUUUUAUGCCACCACAGUGAAUGUACUUAUGGGUUUUAUGCCAUGAGCAUACUCACAUGGGGCACUAUUUUAAACAUUUUUAUUUUCUUUUCAAGAUAAUAUGAACCUGAUUAACUAAGCAAACUAUUGAAAAGAAAAGGAUAACUACCAAGUUUACCUCUUGACAAGGCGUUCGUCGUUUUUAAGUCCUCCGAGCAGGACUCCUUGUGUUUGCAGUCGUCCUGGGAUUCGUUGGAUGGCGUAGUUAGUGGUUCCAGUGGCGCCUCCUCUUCGUGUGUAACUAUCUUCUCUCUCGACACCUGACUCGGUGCUACGGUCUCCUCAGGACAGUUCUGUUCAAGCUGUAUGUCUUCAGACCUUAUCACUUCUCCUUCAUAGUCUACCCAUCCGUCGUUGAUGAUUUGCCUCCUGUGGUUUCGGUUGCGUUGUCUUCUUCUUGUCCUAGCCUGCUUAGAGUCUCCAACUAUAUAGUUAAGGUCAGUAAAAUAACGGCGUACCUUCUCAGAGGGGAAGUACAUGUGGACUUCUCCGGUUCCAAUGUAGAUGAUUGCUUUAAUAGUGUUGAGAAACGGUCUUCCAAGGAUGAUGGGUGUAUCGUACUCGUCUUCUCCCAUGUCAAUGACCUGAAAGUCAUCUGGAGCUGAAUGUAUGUUGGUUGUAGAGGCAUGGUUCCAUGCAGGAGCUGAUAAGUGACUGCAGCCAUUAUGUUGACGUCAGAUCCGGUGUCGUAGAGUGUCUUCUGAAAAGAGUAUCCGUUGAUUGUGCACUUGAUGCUUGGAACACCAGGGUCGUCUUUCUUGAUCAGGAAAGGCGACUUGAGUCAACGAUGUUGACUUCUUCCGACAAGGAUCCAAAGUUUUAAAUCUUCUGGACGAGACUUCUCACUGUCUUUAUCCUUUAGGUGCAUCAUUUGAUUAGGUGUGGACCUUGACGUCUGCACCUCUUGAUACGGUGUCACCCAUGUUCUUCUUUGCCCAGCAGUUCGAAGUAUGGUGUUGACAAUAUCCUGCUCAGUGUGUUUGUGCUCGUAGAUCCAGGUCCUUCAUUUGGUAGAGUCUAGGAGUUGUAAAACUCCUCUAUGUUUUGCUUGAAGUGUACCUGUUCAUAGAGACAAGGUAGAGAUCAAGUGCAUGGGCCCUGUUGGUGAAAAACACCAAUAGAACCAAUAGUGUAUUUGUUCUUCUCUAACCUUAAGCAUAGUGGGCAAGACAAAGUUGAUGGAUCAUGAGUGUAGCAUUUGUCAGAUCAGAUGGCUCAACCUAAUGGAAAAAUAAUCUAUCUACAUUUAUGUUUUAUUUAUAUCUUCCAAAGAUUGAAUGUGCAACAUUUUAGCUUAUAUGAUUAGGAGUGUGUGGUCACGAAGGUAGUACUAAGAACAAAGAUUAAAGGACUAAAUAUGUUGAAUUAAUUGGGUUGGUUAAUUUGGAGCUACAAAUCAUACAUGUUUGUCUCUUUUAUUCUUGGGUAUGCCAGAACCAAGGAGAAACUUAUAAAAGUGAUAAUCAAGUACUUUAAGAUGUUACCUUAAUUGAAGAGUGAUGGUAUAGUAUCACCUUGUGGAAGCUCUCCUUUCUUAGCGGUUGUGCAUCUUGUUUGUGGCACUCUUUGUCUUGUUCCAUGGAUCAUCUCUCUGUGAUGAAUGAGCUAUGUCUUCCUUGUUCAAAUUGUUAAACUUCAUGUGUCUCCUUUAUCUCCAAUGAGUUUGUAUCUCAGGACUUCCCAGGUUGAUAUUGAAUGUUUUCCUGUAGGGGUUAGUCCAACAAAAUAUACCAAUGCCUACUCAAGUAGUUUUUAGUUUAGUAACCAAACUAGACUCCAUGUCUAAUCAGAUUAAGGAAUGCUAUUUAACCUAAGCACCACGCUUAAUUUAAAUGCCAAUGGAAGUAUGUCCAGUACUUCCAAACCAACACUUACUUAAGAUAAACAUAGGUAGCAUGAUGGCAUUUCUAGAGAGCUACUCAAGUGGAGAAGUAGUGUGACUAGUAUUUAACAAAUCAAGCAUGUUUCAAAGGUAGGGACAACCAACAUAGCAACUUGGCAAAGGAUGUUUUCAUGUGAAGUACUCUCCCAAGCUUGAAUUUUGCAAAAUUCAAGGUUGGAUGAAUUUAAUUCAAUGUUGCAUGAUGAUGGGUUGGACAUACCUUGUACUUGUCAUUCAUCCGAUCUUCUUGCUCCAAUCCUAGAAAGGUUAGUGGCAAGAAUACCCGAAGGAAUAUUUCUACAAUUAUCUUUAUAUGCUCAAUACACAAGGCAAUGUUGCAAAUAAUUAGAAGUUCAUGUUACGAUCUGAUAAGUGCUUGUUUUAGGACACUAAGCUUGUCCUUGGGAAACCAUCAAUUUACUCAAUGAGAUCUGCAAUAUUUAUUAUAGACAUAUGCAUUGACAACCGCUCUUUUUAAGAUGUUAUAAAUAGAAAGGAAGAGGGGGUUGGAGAUCUCAAAUGUGGUGAUAGCACAUGGAUUUUAAUGCCCUCUAGCCAUUGAUGUUGCUCUUCUCGAUCCUCCUUCUUAUGCAUGGGAUGUCUAGAGAGAUUCAUAGGAUCAUCGGGAGGUUCAAGAGAAAGAUCAUAGGAGAAAUUAUUAGGCUCAAGGAUGGGUUGGAUAGCUGAAUCAAGGGAUUAAAAUGUUUGGAAAUCAGCUAUUGAAACUUCCUUUCCUCGUCUAGGAGAUGAUUCCUUCUCUAUCUCUAGGAAUUUUUUAUGAAGACUAGUGCAAGAACGAUAUCCACAAAUGAAGACAUACCUUCCUUUACUAAUAGAUAAAGAAAGAAAGACUCUACCAAAGGUUAUAUGAUUAAGACCAAUGUGAAAAUAUCGAGGAAAAACAUGGUCUUGUAGGGCUAGGUUUAAACCAGAAUUUAUAGAAAGAUUAAUAGAUUCCCUAGGUGUAGCUAAAAGUGCAUUAUCUUCUUGAUUAAAAGAUAGGACCUCGGCAAUAGAAAAGGGUUGGUUUUGACCUAUUGCAAUCAACUUCGGACACAGAUCAUAAUUAGGGGCAGGACUUGUUGACUCCCAUGGUCUAUGGCUGGUCUCCGAAGGUGCAAAGAAUUCAAUAAUAGGUAUGGAAUUUGAGUUAUCCAUAAAGAUAAAAGUAAAAAGAUAAAAGGAUAAAAGUAUAAAAGUAUAAUACAAGAUAAUAGCAAGACUUAAAGUUAUCUCAGCAAACCGUCUUUCUCCUCAGCAACGGCGCCAGAAAUGCUUGUUGAUAUUUGGUAAUGCAAUAAGGAAAUGAUCCGCAAGCGCACGGAUAUCGGUGAGCAUUUCACCCGGGAGGUUAUCCAGAGUUAUCGUAUUUAUAUUUUUACCACUGGGAGAAAGGGUGCAUCUGACUAACCAAAUCUAUUGCUACUACCCCUUUAGGCUACAAAGAAUGUUUCUCGAUGUGAGUGAUAUAUAGAGAAGACUGCAACCGUAGUCUCGUUCUAACCUUGGUAAGGAUGAUCUACUGUUCUAUUGGGGAGGCUUAGGGAAUCUAGACACCACAAAGGAUAUUCGACCUGCACCUAUAAACCAACCCGUCCUGCUAACGAGAUGUGGGAUGCAAAGGUAACUCAGAAAUGUCACGUUCCUCACUACUACCACGGUUCAGCUAGUCAGGGGAUAUCUAUGAGUACCCUAGCCUAAACACCACGUUUACGCUAGCAAUGAUUACUCUAAUACUCAACCCGAAGAGAUUAAAGUAAACUCAUAAACCAAAGAACAAUAAAACAAGAACUUACUAGAAUUAGAAGUCGAAUUACUGAAGAAUCCUAGGAGCAAGCCUCGGGUUAGAAGACUUGAUCCCGUAGGUACAACCUCGGAGUAGACACCGACAGGCCGGGCUUCCUCCGAUCUACACCUCCACUCUAUCUCUCUCAAUCUAGUAGAAACUAGAAGAUCUAAUUCUACUCACAUUAGAUGCUAAGCCUAAAAGAAAUUUUAUUUAGAGGAGAGGUAUUCCUUCGAGGGCACCUCUCAACUCUAUGAUGAACUUGUCUCCUCCAGGGGCCGGGGGGUUUGGUUUUAUAGUCCCCUCAAGUGAACGUGAGCCAUUGGAUCAAACCGACAUUGAUUGGACGGUUAUCCUUGAUCCUUUAGGUUGGUGGAGAUUAGUCCACGAAGAGAGUUCUAAAUCGAAUCCAGGUCAGGGCGGGCGCCCAAGGGGGGAGGGCGGGCGCCCUGCCCCCGGGCCCGUUCGGCCUCCCGUUCGUUCCCGUGGCUUCUGGAGUCUUCUAGAUGAUAGAAAAUUGCGUGGCACAUUAAUAUCUCUAUGUAAUCCAGACGUGUGGGCCUUUCUUCCAUAUUUCCUGAUAACACCCUGCAGAAAUAGACAAACACCAAAACUCGUGGAAUUCUGCCAGAUAAAACCCUAAGUCUGGGUGUUGGUUGCAUUUGGAUCCUUUUCUUUUUUAUUUGAUGAUUAUAUUUGGUACUUAAGGACCGUCAACAGUCUGCCCAUCCAUCCUUGAUGAUUUGCCUCCUCUGGUUGCGGUUGCAUCGUUUCCUGUCCUGCUUAGAAUCUUCAACGAUAUAGUUAGGGUCAUUAAAAUAGCGGCGUACCUUCUCUGAGGGGAAGUGCAUAUGGACUUCUCCAGUUCCAAUGUAGAUGAUUGCUUUAACGGUGCUGAGGAACGGUCUUCCAAGGAUGAUGGGUGGAUCGUAUUCGUCUUCUCCCAUGUCAAUAACCUUAAAGUCUGUGUAGACAAAAUGAUCGUCUAUUUUGACAAGGACAUCAGUUACUAUUCCUUUAACCUCUUGAAACGUCUGAUCUGCCAUCUGGAGUUGAAUGUAUGUUGGUUUUAGGGGCAUGGUUCCGAACAAGAGCCGAUAGGUAACUGCGGCCAUUAUGUUG